UUUUAAAUAGUGUAAUAUAACACUUAACAUUUUCAUUGUUAGGAUUCCAUUGGAUUUAAAUU
rnacentral:tRNA from 1 species